rnacentral:rRNA from 1 species
CAAAAAUUAAACCAUGCAUGUGAAUGAGGGGGUC